AGAGUUUGAUCCUGGCUCAGGACGAACGCUGGCGGCGUGCCUAACACAUGCAAGUGGAGCGACGAACCAGGCUUCGGCCUGGGGCAAAGCCGCGAACGGGUGAGUAACGCGUGGGUAACCUGCCUCGAUGACUGGGACAACCCGAGGAAACUCGGGCUAAUACCGGAUGUGUACCUGGAUCUUCUGGUCCAUGUGCAAAG
rnacentral:rRNA from 1 species